GAUGAACGCUGGCGGCGUGCCUAAUACAUGCAAGUCGAGCGAACAGACGAGGAGCUUGCUCCUCUUACGUUAGCGGCGGACGGGUGAGUAACACGUGGAUAACCUACCUAUAAGACUGGGAUAACUUCUGGAAACCGGAGCUAAUACCGGAUAAUAUCUUUAACCGUAUGGUUCAAUAUUGAAAGACGGUUUUGCUGUCACUUAUAGAUGUAUCCGCGUCGCAUUAGCUGGUUGGUAAGUUAACGGCUUACCAAGGCGACGAUGCGUAGCCGACCUGAGAGGGUGAUCGGCCACACUGGAACUGAGAAACGGUCAAGACUCCAACGGGAGGCAGCAGUAGGGAAUCUUCCGAAAGGGGCGAAAGCCUGACGGAGAAACGCCGCGUGAGUGAUGAAGGUCUUCGGAUCGAAAAACUCUGUUAUUAGGGAAGAACAAAUGUGUAAGUAACUAUGCACGUCUUGACGGUACCUAAUCAGAAAGCCACGGCUAACUACGUG
rnacentral:rRNA from 1 species